rnacentral:misc_RNA from 1 species
UUUUUUUUUUUUUUUUGUUCAAGUCCCACAUUUUGUAGUAUUUUCCUUCGAUAUAAGAUCUCUUGGUUGGAGCUCCCGAGAUUGUUCAUUCUUAUUCAAGCACCCUGGCCUUUCUUCUUUGGUAUAACCGUCCAUGGUAGAUUUCGAAUCUUGUUUUGACCUAUUAGAUUUCAUCUAGCUCUGUUCUCCAUUAAGAUUCACAGAGAAGGAAUUUCCAUCUUUAUUGGCAAAACUGCUUCCAUGCCAUAUACUAACGAAUAUGGAGUUGCUUUAAUCAAUCAUCUUUUCGAUCAUUCAUUUGAGAUUCUUGUUUACAGUUUCCAUGGCGUUGUUCAUUUGGGGCCGAUAAGGUGAUGAAUUAAGAUGAAUCACCCCGGAGGCUUCCGAUGACAUCGAUGCCCCGCAUUGCAAUCGAUCAUGGGACGUUUUUCCAGCCAACAUAUGUACAGCACUUGUGACAUUUUCAAACAUACUCGAUACAGUUUUUCUUAGCCAUCGUGUUCGUUAGCUUGCGUGGCAUAGUUUCCCUUCAUCAGAAUCACUAGUAUUCAGGGCAAUUAUUGGUCCUUCAAAGUUAACUUCAUGAAUAUCAUAGUUGAUUGAAUCAUUAUGUAUUGGUUGGAAAUGGGGCGGUUACAAGAGGAGAAUUAAGUGGUUUUAUUAGGCAAAGAAAAGGCUAAACAAAAGAAGUAAUCGGAUAUGAAAGUUUGGAAAAAUGCGCGAUUAACUUACUAAUACUUAAUCAUGAGAGAAGGUCCAUUCACAAUCCACUUAACACCAUGGACAAAGUGGUCAAGUGUAGGUAACCAAAUAUUCAUUACUCAGAGAAAAGUAUAAGGAUAUCCUUUGCCCCCCAAGUAUCAAGCUCUUGAUUUCUUUUUAUUUGCACAAUCAGCAUUUCUGGUUCCAACGCAUCUCCUAUGCAUUCUAUUAUGUGCACAUUGCCUCUUUUACCAGUUUCGUAGUUAGGCAAUGGAUUAAUUUCAUCAUUAGGAAUUGCACUUUCACUUUCCAUCUCCAACCACCCAUUUCUGAUAAGGGGCUGUACCUUACCUUUGAAAGCUCCACAAUUGUAUGUUGAGUGACCCAUUGCCCCCCCCCCCCUAUAGUAUUCACAAUGAGCAUUUGGAUCACACCUCAUUGGAUAUAGGGAUUGUAAAAGGUCGAGUGGUAUGGGUACUAUCUGGUUUAUGCUCAAAAGGUAACAAUAAAUCUCGCUUAAGGGCAUAGGCAGUGGUGGGUCGGGAUUGGGAAGUGGGUGAUUUAGAUGAACUAAUUUGUUUGAGUCGGCAGACGUGAAGUGUAAGCAAUUGGUUAUGGGACCUAUUGUGUUUGGGAUAAGAAGAAAUUUUGGUGGAAAAUUGGCUACCAUUAGGUUUUGGGAAGAAAAUCGAGAACGGUAGGUGUUUUGUGGGGGGGCAUGGUUGAUAGGCUUGUUACAUCACAUUGUGCACCUCCCCUUCCAUUUUCUUCUCAGAAUUUAUCGUACUUUUCACUGAAUUUUCUCUUACCACUUCCUGUAACCUCCCCUAGUCUCAAAUUUGCCUCAAUUCUCUCCCCAGUCUGUAUAAUGUUAGCAAAGUUGUUGGAGGUGUUCCCGAUCAUCAAAUAGAAAUAAGGAGCUUUCAAGGUCUCAAUGAAGAGAGAGCAAAGCUCAUUGUCAAUAACUGGAGGGUAUAUUUCCGCUGCUUUCUCUCUCCAUCUUUGGGCAUAUUCUUUGAAGCCUUCCCUGUCUCUCUGUACCAGGUUCUGAAGGUCCCUUCUUGUGGGGGCCACAUCGCAGUUAAAUUUGUACUGCUUUAAAAAGGCCUCGGCUAAAUCCUUCCAGGAGCGCAGUCUGCUCCUGUCUAAUUGAACACACCACCUCAGAGCUGCUCCAGAGAGGCUCUCGUGAAAGAAGUGGAUUAACAGUCUGUCAUCAUCUGUCAUAGAGGACAUCUUGGCAAUAUAGGUGGCCAAAUGAAUUCGAGGGUCCGAAUUCCCAGUAUACUUGUCAAAAUGGGGGACCUUGAAUUUGGGCGGCACCACCACAUCGGGAACCAAUCUUAGUGAUGCCACGUCAACUGAGCCAUACAUAUUCAGGCCCUCUAUAGCUCUCAAUCUCUCUUCCAGAGCGGACAGCUUCUCAUUUUCUCUCAUCUUACUUUCUCCUCCUGUUGUGUGAGGUGCUCCCCCAACUGGGAAAUGAGGGGCAGAAUGAAUUGGAGGGCUCGGGACCGAAAGGGAUGGUUCAGCAUUCGGGAUGGCUGGAUAAUAAGAGAAAGGAGGUUCAUUAGUCAUGACGACCGGAUUGACAGUGACUGUCGGGUCCGGGAUGGGGGAUUGAAAGGUAAAAGAAGUUGAAGCUUGGUGAGGAUCAUUUGUUGGAGGUGGUGGAGGAGGUAAUAGUAGGUUAAGGUCUGAAGCUGGCUUAUUUUGGGACAUCUCCCUCAUCAGCUUCAUAAGUUCUGAAACCUGGUCUUUUAGUUCAGAAACUUGCCCCUGUAGGUUCUGUACUUGUUCCUGAUCUUCCAUUAGUUUUCUUGUUCGAGAUCUUAUUAAGUACACUCGCUGGGGUUAAAUCGCGUGCUUGGUCAGACUUGCCUUGUUUGAAGUAAUGUUUGAUUUUCUGGGGGGAGUAAAAAGGAAAAUUUUCAAUGAAUUUUGAAUUAAAAAUUAAAAGGGUCCUGGUGUGGACAAAGGAUACAAUGGCAUCUGAGAGCCAAGACGAAAUCUGCAGAGGGAUAAUUGCAUCCCUUUUAUCAUGGCAUCGUUCGAUAGUCUGACCGUGAAUGACGAGAUUGAGUGCGCAUUUAUGAUACUUGUCCAUACAACGCAUUUCAAUUUUUCACAUAACCCUAGCGAGGAAGUUCCUACGGGAGUCAUACUAUUCAUUCACAAAUUUUGCUAAACAAUGGUUCAAAAAUCACUUCAUUAACUGAGUAAUUUGUACAUCGUAUCUUUUACAUUGGCCUAGGCUCUGGAAGGUUCUUUAUAAUAAGAUGACAUUUUCUGAGAUACUCAUAUAACCUUUCUUCUUGCUUGGCGGGGUCGAAUGCUUUCAGAGCGUACUCGGAUUCCGGUAAUAAUUCUUGUUUUCCCCGUGCUAUUGUUCUCUCCAGCUGGUCAACAUUCUCUUUCAGUCCUUGAUAGAGAGCAGCUUGUUUUUCUUUCUCUUUCCUUUCUUUAGCACACUCUUUCAAGAUAUCGUUGAUGAGUAGUGCUUGUUCUUUCAAUUCGAGCUUCUUCUUUUUGUUUUCUUGUUUAUACUCUUCAACGAGUAUUUCUUGGUAUUUCAUUUUUUCCUGAAGCUUACUAUUCUGUACUUCUACUUCUUUUACCACAGCUUGGAGAGAGUCUUUUUCCUUUUCCCACCGUACCUCUUGCUCUUCGAACCCCAUCUUUUCGGCCCUUGCCUCUUCCCUGAGUCUUCUCACCUUUCUUUUAAGGUUCUGCCGUUGGUCCUCCAACUGUUUUAUUUGUUCUUGCAGUUGUGAGUUUUCGGUAUUUGCCUUUUGUAGUGAGUCAAUCAGACGAUUAUCAGCUUCUUCUAAUAGGACGUUUUGGCGAGGGUCGCUGUCUUCGAAUUCUGUAGUUGAGUGUUCUCGAUCCCUGUCAGCCCUCCAUUCAAAAUAAUCGCGUGUGACACUUGGACCUUUAGGCGACCUUUCCAUCAGAGAAAUGUUUUCCCAGGAUCUGCGAGCCACUUUCAACCCUUCCUCUUCCUUGAGCUCAUGGUAGAAGUGACCUUGGUGGUAUUCUUCAAUGUUGAUCACAGACUGUGUUGAGCCGAACUGCCUCAUUACCAAUGCCGGAGUGUAACUUGUGUAUCCGGUUACUCCGAUUAGGGAUACCGACUGAUUACCUCCCGUGCUGAUCAAAACGGAUUGGCCUGACGUCCACAGUUUGCUCCAACAGUAAUCAUGGCUAUUGAAACUCAAAAUCCGUUCCCACCACUGUUUUUCAUUCUUCGGGCUGAUCACUAACCGGC